rnacentral:tRNA from 1 species
GGGAUCAUGGUUUAGUGGCAUAAUUCUCCGUUUGGGAUUCAAAGUCUCGGAGAGGUCCUGGGUUCGAUUCCCAGUGGUCCCC